rnacentral:rRNA from 1 species
AUGCCCAAGCUGAUUGGUAAACUCCUCCCUUGCGCAUCCUCCCAGGAUCCACAUAUUCGUGAGAAAGAUUGUGGCAGUGUGCAAGAAAUGCCAAAGUUUGAGUUUAAUAGGGUUGAUUUCUCUCGAAAGAUGAAGGACAUCAUAGAGAAAUUGCAGCUUGUGCGCAAGGAUGUUAAUGGCCUUUUGCAGAGUUGUGACCCUAGAAGUGUCUCGAACAUUGCCCAGUGUCGUCCUAUCACCAAGGGUCGAAUUGAUGAGCCAAAACUGUAUGGGAGGGACCGUGUCAUGGAUAGCAUCAUAAAGGACAUCACCAAGGGUCAAUACUGUGACAAGGGUAUAACUGUGCUUCCGGUUGUUGGUUCGGGGGGAAUGGGGAAAACAACUCUCAUACAACACAUAUAUCGCAACCAGCAAGUGCUGAAUCAUUUUCCAGUCAUGAUUUGGAUAUGUGUGUCUUUCAGUUUCAAUCUGGAUAAGGUGCUAGAGCAGAUUAAAACAUGUACCCCUGCAGUUGAAAAGGAAAAAAUUGGCAGUACAACUGAAGAUUUGAUCGAGCAAAGAUUAAAAUCUAAAAGGUUCUGUUGA